ACGUAGGUGGCAAGCGUUGUCCGGAAUUAUUGGGCGUAAAGCGCGCGCAGGCGGUCCUUUAAGUCUGAUGUGAAAGCCCACGGCUCAACCGUGGAGGGUCAUUGGAAACUGGGGGACUUGAGUGCAGAAGAGGAAAGUGGAAUUCCACGUGUAGCGGUGAAAUGCGUAGAGAUGUGGAGGAACACCAGUGGCGAAGGCGGCUCACUGGUCCGGUACUGACGCUGAGGUGCGAAGGCGUGGGGAGCAAACAGGA
rnacentral:rRNA from 1 species